rnacentral:misc_RNA from 1 species
AGAGCACUGCCAAAUGAACUG